UCGUCGACAGUCUCGUUUCUAUGCGAAGU
rnacentral:sRNA from 1 species